rnacentral:rRNA from 1 species
UACGGAGGGUGCUAGCGUUGUUCGGAUUUAUUGGGCGUAAAGCGCACGUAGGCGGCGCAGCAAGUCAGGGGUGAAAUCCCGGAGCUCAACUCCGGAACUGCCUUUGAAACUGCAGUGCUAGAAUCCUGGAGAGGCGAGUGGAAUUCCGAGUGUAGAGGUGAAAUUCGUAGAUAUCGGGAGGAACACCAGUGGCGAAGGCGGCGAUCUGGGAAGUUACUGACGCUGAGGUGCGAAAGCGUGGGGAGCAAACAGG